rnacentral:rRNA from 1 species
GACUGAAGGUGCAAGCGUUGUUCGGAAUCACUGGGCGUAAAGCGCGUGUAGGCGGUUCGAUAAGUCGGACGUGAAAGCCCGGGGCUUAACCCCGGAAGGGCAUCCGAAACUGUCGAGCUUGAGUACGGGAGAGGGAAGCGGAAUUCCUGGUGUAGAGGUGAAAUUCGUAGAUAUCAGGAGGAACACCGGUGGCGAAGGCGGCUUCCUGGACCGAUACUGACGCUGAGACGCGCAAGCGGGGGGAGCACACAGGAGGAGAUAACCGUGUAGUCC